rnacentral:misc_RNA from 1 species
UCCUGGUUAACCCAGGCAGUCUCAUUAGAGUUCCCAUCCGAAAUGUUGGCAACUAAUGAUAAGGGUUGCGCUCGUUGCGGGACUUAACCCAACACCUCACGGCACGAGCUGACGACAGCCAUGCAGCACCUGUGCAAUGGUCCCGAAAGAAGGCGCCAUCUCUGGCGCUGUCCAUUGCAUGUCAAGCCUGGGUAAGGUUCUUCGCGUUGCAUCGAAUUAAACCACAUGCUCCACUGCUUGUGCGGGUCCCCGUCAAUUCUUUUGAGUUUCACCCUUGCGGGCGUACUCCCCAGGCGGCAUACUUAACGCGUUCGCUUCGGCACAACCGGGGUUGAGUCCGGUUACACCAAGUAUGCAUCGUUUACGGCUAGGACUAC